rnacentral:lncRNA from 1 species
CGGUCAUAAAUCAAAAUUUUUAUAUAUCACAAACUAUUUUGCGGUCACAAUUCAAAAAUUCAAUAGGUCACAAUUUGUUCAUUGGUUACGAAUCAGAAAAUUUUAUAUGUCACAAAUUAUUUAUUAGUCACAGAUUACAAAUAUUAUAAGUCACAGUUUAUUAAACAGCCACAAAUUAACAAAUUUUUUAGGUCACAUUUUUUUUUUCACAAUUCCUCUUGUUUCACUGGUCACAUGUUUAUCGGUCACAGAUAAAAUGAUCCGUGACUGCCACCAACACUUAUGACCACCACCCCACCACUGCUGCAGCUGUAUUGACGUCACAACUGCCACUUCCAAAGCAACCACCACCAUGUCCCGGUGGCCUUGUCACCACCAACACAAAAUCACUAAAAAGUUACCACAAAACAACCUAAAUCCAUCCCAAAAAAGAAACACCACAAACCACGAAUCCAUCCCUGUCCGUCGCGCACAAUACCAAUCUCGCCGUGGGCGACGAAAGCAAGUACCUGCUGACGGGGGUUGAGCUAGAAGACAAGAAUCAUGGGGGCAAAUUUCAUAAAUUGGCAAAAUGUAAAAAAUAUAAGGACUUUUAAAAAAAAUAAAUUAAAAUUUGGUUCAAAACAACAAAUUUUGUAAAAAACCAUGGGGGCAGUGGGUUGUAAAUCCGCCCCUGCCUACCGAUGAAAAGAACGAAGAAAAAGGAAGAUGAUUG